rnacentral:rRNA from 1 species
UACGGGGGGAGCAAGCGUUGUUCGGAUUUACUGGGCGCAAAGGGCGCGUAGGCGGCCACCGCAAGUCGACUGUGAAAUCUCCGGGCUUAACCCGGAAAGGUCAGCCGAUACUGCGGGGCUAGAGUGCAGAAGGGGCAACUGGAAUUCUCGGUGUAGCGGUGAAAUGCGUAGAUAUCUGGAGGAACACCGGUGGCGAAGGCGGCAUCCUGGACCAACACUGACGCUGAGGAGCGAAAGCCAGGGGAGCAAACGGG